rnacentral:rRNA from 1 species
UACGUAGGGCGCAAGCGUUGUCCGGAAUUAUUGGGCGUAAAGAGCUCGUAGGCGGUUUGUCGCGUCUGCCGUGAAAACCCGAGGCUUAACCAAGGAAGUGCAUCCGAAACUACAGAGCUUGAGUACUUAAGAGGAUCGCGGAAUUCCCGGUGUAGAGGUGAAAUUCGUAGAUAUCGGGAGGAACACCAGUGGCGAAGGCGGCGAUCUGGGAAGAUACUGACGCUGAGGUGCGAAAGCGUGGGGAGCAAACAGG